UACGAAGGGGGCUAGCGUUGUUCGGAAUUACUGGGCGUAAAGCGCGCGCAGGCGGCUAUCCAAGUCAGAGGUGAAAUCCUGGAGCUCAACUCCAGAACUGCCUUUGAUACUGAGAGGCUUGAGUCCGGGAGAGGUGAGUGGAACUGCGAGUGUAGAGGUGAAAUUCGUAGAUAUUCGCAAGAACACCAGUGGCGAAGGCGGCUCACUGGCCCGGUACUGACGCUGAGGUGCGAAAGCGUGGGGAGCAAACAGG
rnacentral:rRNA from 1 species